rfam:Triticum urartu cultivar G1812 contig507641, whole genome shotgun sequence.
CAACUACUCCCUCUGUCCCAAAAUUCUUGUCUUAGAUUUGUUUAGAUACGGAUGUAUCUAAUACUAAAAUGUGACUUGAUACAUCCGUAUCUAGACAAAUCUAAGUCAAGAAUUUCGGGACGGAGGGAGUACUUU